UACGUAGGGGGCUAGCGUUGUCCGGAUUUAUUGGGCGUAAAGAGCGUGUAGGCGGCCAGAUAGGUCCGUUGUGAAACCUGGAGGCUUAACCUCCAGCCGUCGAUGGAAACCAUCUGGCUAGAGUCCGGAAGAGGAGAGUGGAAUUCCGGGUGUAGUGGUGGAAUGCGUAGAGAUCCGGAGGAACACCAGCGGCGAAGGCGGCAUCCUGGACUGGUCCUGACACUCAGGAGCGAAAGCGUGGGGAGCGAUCCGG
rnacentral:rRNA from 1 species